rnacentral:rRNA from 1 species
UAAGACGGAGGGUGCUAGCGUUGUUCGGAAUCACUGGGCGUAAAGGGCGCGCAGGCGGCCCGGCCAGUCGGACGUGAAAGCCCGGGGCUCAACCCCGGAACGGCGUCCGAGACGGCCGGGCUGGAGACCGGGAGAGGAGGGUGGAAUAGCCAGUGUAGAGGUGAAAUUCGUAGAUAUUGGCUGGAACACCGGUGGCGAAAGCGGCUCUCUGGCCCGGGUCUGACGCUGAGGCGCGAAAGCGUGGGGAGCAAACAGGAUUAGAUACCCUGGUAGUCCACGCCCUAAACGAUGUGCGCUGGGCGUCGGGGGGCUUGCCCCUCGGUGCCGGAGCCAACGCGGUAAGCGCACCGCCUGGGGAGUACGGCCGCAAGGUUA